rnacentral:lncRNA from 1 species
CAUUCAUAGCCUAGAGGAAUAUAUAUAUAUAUAUAUCUUGUACGUUUUGAGGUAAGUUCAAAGUUGUUUUUUUAAACGAGUUUGUAUUAAUACACUACAAGUUAAAAGAUUGCUUUAGCUUUAUUAGGUCAUGACCAGAAAUAAACGAUAUAAUGUUUUUCUCCUGUUGACAUUUUGGCUUAUGUAUAAUAAUAACGACGGCACACAAUAACCGUCUUUUUGACUUUUGACGUACGCGAAUGUUGUUUAGGAAUUUAGUUUGAAACGUUACAUUUUGUCUCCUGUUAUAGUGGUCUGUGUACAGUGUUCAAAAAUGAAGUCGCAAUCCUUGAUAUUUUUGUUGAAUAAUUUGAGAAAUGUUGAGAGUUAGUUAAAUUUUAUAGAUCAACAUUACACUUCCAAUAUGCAAAUCUUUUUGACGUAUUUGUUUUUCUAAAGUUAUGAAUGAGGUUAUAUGAAUUUGGUUUCAUAAUCACAGGAUGUUUGGAUUAUAAUCAUUUUAAAGAGAUACAUAUGGUACAUGUGGUACUGUCGGAAACGAUUCAGGUCAAAAUUAGUUAGACAGCAACAACUAUUGAGAUAGCAAUGAACAUAAGAAAGUAUAAUCCCCGAUAUAGACUUACCGUGGGUCUGACUGCACAUUUAAUCCUUUUCUGAAUUUCAUCAUAAUGUUUUACUACACUUCAUUGAGACACAACGACGCACCACUUGAAAGAUAUUUCAAAAAUACUUAUAGAUAAUUAAGCGAUAAAUAUCAUGAUGAAACUUAUCUUUAAGACACCCUGUUCUUAAAGAUAUUAAUAUACCAGGGUACCUUGUUUGUGAAAGCUGUAGCAAUACGGUAAUUGUAACAGCUUUAGACUAAUAAAUCAAUUAUCAUAGUAAAAAAAAAAUUAUCAAGAUGAUUCUACAUAUACAACUAACUCAUAUUAAAUCCAACAGUGAUCGAUGUCCUUUUUAAACCUCAAUAGUAAGAUUCAUAUGAUUUUCUUCAUGCAAAAAUUCAUGUGAAACGGGAUAGCUUUCUUUAUCUAUUGUAAACGUUGACGAGGACGUUACGGUGGCUCUUUCUUAUGUAGUGUUAAUUUCCCGGAUUAUUUUUUAUAUCGAUAUGCGAGUGUUUGCAGUGAUUUCAAGUAAAAUUUUCGUUACUAAAAUGUGUAUAGCAUGGUCUAAUUAAGUUGGUAAACCAUAAAGAAGAUGUAUUGUGGAAGUAAGAUUCCACCGGCAUGACAAUGAUUAACAGUUGGAUUCUACCUUUAUAAAUGAACAAAGCAAAGGACUUGACUUUACAUUUUUGCUGUUGACAAGAUCAACUUACUGAUUAGAGUAAAAUCAACCUUGCCUUGAUUUAGAACUUGACAAAUUAAAUAUAUUGCCGGAGAUUGUAUCUUCAUUUUUAUGUCUCUUAUUCAGUUUUGUCUUUGGGUUGUUGUCUCAUUGACGUAGCUUCGUUUUAAUUUGUAUUAUGCUGCUUUGGUUCAUACAGUCUGUGGGUGAACAUACACUAAAUAAUUGUAUGAAACAUGUACAGUAAUCGUAAACUUGUAACAUGAACAUAUUAUUUAUAUGUCCAUAGUAUUCAUGACACUUUCUCCUUGGUAAAUUAUUGCUUCUAAGAAGGAAACUUUCAAUUAAGUUUUCUAGAUAACUAGGUUGACGUCAUUUCAUCGAAUGUUUUACUGGGGUUGGUUAUUUGAUAAAUAUGAUAUACUAGUAUUGCGUUUGUCCCACUCUAAACACUUCCAUUUUUUUCUCUGUUGAAUGCAAUCAUAUUUCAGAUUUUGAUAUGUUAUUGUCAUUGAACUGAUUUGUGUUGCAAAAUUCUUAUUUCAACAUAGUUUACUCAUGACACAUUUGGAAGUGAAAACUUUGCUAUAUUGCUUUCUUUGCAUGUUUGUCAUAUUUUUAUUCUAUUCGGGAUAUAUACGUUUUAGUUUGGUAGCUGAUAUGGCAGUUAAGAGUAUGCAUGUUAUAUGCCGUUUCUGUUCUCGUACAUGUAUGUCAUUGGUUUGUAUGUCUAAAUUACAACCUUGUUCAUGCAGCAUUAAAAUUCAAGGUUUGUAUUUGGAAUAGUGAGGUAAAAAGUCUGUAUACCAACGUGAACUUCUAAUUAACCUGUUCGCAUUUAAGUCAAUAUAACAUCAUGAGAUAUGAUAUGAUUGCCAUUGAGACUACCCAAUGGAGUCCAAAUGAAAACAUUGCCUACUGCAAUGUCUGCAUGUCAUACCGGUGAUAACCCAAAUUUAACAUGUCAAUCUCAAUUUUUACGUCUCCAUGUCUGCAUAAUAAUCUGAUGAUUGCAAAUAUUUACACAGGCAAUGCUUUUUUCUUAAUCUUUACUAAAAAAAUACCUAAAUAUUAAUAUCGUAAAUGCAAAGCUUCAUUACAAAAUAUACUUAUAUAUAUAUAUGUAUAUAGAUCACGGUAUCUCAGUAGCAUGGGUUCGAAUCCCGGCGAGGGAAGAACAAAAAAUUUGCGAAAGCAAAUUUACAGAUCUAACAUUGUUGGGUUGAUGUUUAGACGAGUUGUAUAUACAUAAUGUACACAGCCAUGUAUCACCAUCAUUGCUGAUGAUCCGAUGGAUAAAUCUGUUGUAGAGUUGUCACUGACUUAGACGUACUUAUAAAUAUAAUUAUUUUCUGUGACUGUAUCUUGCAUUAAUUUGUAGGAUCCUUUACUAUAGAUAAUUGAGCUGAUCUGUAACAAUAACAUCUCCAUGCCUUUUAUAUCAUGUACUGUAGUACGACGCUAGAUUUAAACUGACGAGGAAAGGUAACACACGGCCACCGAAAGCUUUAUUAUUGUGAAGCCCAGGUGGUCGUGUGGUCUAGCGGGACGGCUACAGUGCAGGCGAUUUGAUGUCACGAUAUCUCAGUAGCAUGGGUUCGAAUCCCGGCGAGUAAAGAACAAAAAAUUUGCUAAAGCAAAUUUACAGAUCUAACAUUGUUGGGUUGAUGUUUAGACGAGUUGUAUAGAUAUAUAUAUAGAUAUAGAAACACGUCUAAAUUGAAAACAACAUUCAAACCUAUGAUUGCGUUGGAUAAAAACCGCAAUUUUUAUACGUAUGCAUGUAACAAAUUUCGUUGUAGAAGGGUCUAAAUACAGCACAAACAACAUUUUCAAAAAGACCAAAAGAGUGAAAAAAUAUAUUUUAACAAAACGCAUUUGACUAGCAGGUCGAACAACUGAUGUUCUUAAACCCUGCUGAUUGACAUUGGCGAUUGCCAAAAAUAUAGACAUAUAAUAACUGCUGAUUCUAUUUCAAAAUAUAAAUGUUUAAAGUAUUGUUGAGUGUUUACAAUAUCUUGAAUGGUUCGAUAAGUUUCAGUGUAUUGACAACAUUUUCAAAUACUAUUUUAUUCCACAGAAUGACACUUACAUUACAAUGAAUAUGUUGCAGGCAUACUAUGAAGACAUUUCGCCGAUAUAUUUUCUUGAUUAUUUGCACUGUUUUUGAGAGCGCUGUCUUUGGGUGUCCUUCAUCAUGUUUGUGCGUUCAUCCUUUCGACUAUACUUAUUGCCAUGAUAAAGGUCUAGCGACAGUUCCGUCUGGAAUUUAUAAUACAACAACACGUUUG